CGGGCCAAUACGCUCCUCAUCCACAGUACGCUGUGCCUUGGGUUUCUCUCCCGCAUCUGCGUUUUGCAGGGUUGUGCUGCUGCUGGGGACAGUGAAUGUCCUGGGAAAUAACGGACGUUGAUGUCCCCUCCGCCUCUCGAGCCCGUCUGGCUAACGCACGUUCGCCGGCAAGGAUUUUUAAGCACAAAUCCAGCCUGCUUUCUGGAUGACACUUCUGCUACAGCUUCUGAAUUUCCUGAGUAGCACCAAAUAUUCUUCAGUUGUGCCUCUGGCUCAUCAUCAGCUUCAGAGAAUCAACUUGCAGCACCCUGGAGCACCUGACUAUGUAAUAAAGAAGACUUUUGAUGCAUGCUAAGAAAACAGAGAUUUUUUUUCUCUCAGGAUCUUCAGUUUCCCAAAGGACAGAAAAUUCCAUUACUCUUCGAAUCAUGAUGGUAUUAAAUGGCAACAUCUGGUCUAGCAUUCAGGGCAGAAACUGGAGCUCAGAAGAGCUUCAAAAGA